UACAGAGGGGGCAAGCGUUAUUCGGAAUUAUUGGGCGUAAAGGGCGCGUAGGCGGCCAUUCAAGUGACGGGUGAAAGCCCUCGGCUUAACCGAGGAACUGCCUGUCAGACUGGAUGGCUUGAGACCGGGAGAGGUGAGUGGAAUCCCAGUGUAGCGGUGAAAUGCGUAGAUAUUCGGAAGAACACCAGUGGCGAAGGCGAACUCACUGGACAUGGUAUUGACGCUGAGGUGCGAAAGCGUGGGGAGCAAACAGGG
rnacentral:rRNA from 1 species